rnacentral:rRNA from 1 species
GGAUUAGGCAUGCAAGUCGAACGAGGAUAUAUUUUUCGGAAUAUAAGCCGAGUGGCGCAAGGGUGAGUAAUGCAUAGAUUAUCUACCUUUAGGAUAAGGGCAACUUUGUGAAAACGGAGCUAAUACUUAAUAAUACAAAAGGGAAUAAUUCUUUUUUGUCAAAUGGAGGGUAGCAAUACCUUUCGCCUAGAGAGGGGUUUAUGUCCUAUCAGCUUGUUGGUGGGGUAAUGGCCUACCAAGGCAAAGACGGGUAGCCGGCCUUAGAGGGUGGUCGGCCACACUGGGACUGAGACACUGCCCAGACUCCUACGGAAGGCUGCAGUCGAGAAUCUUUCGCAAUGCCCGAAAGG